UAAGGCUGGCUUGAAGGCAUGCCUU
rnacentral:piRNA from 1 species